ensembl:snRNA U6 U6 spliceosomal RNA
GUGCUCGCUUCAGCAGCACAUAUACUAAAAUUGGAACGAUACAGAGAAGAUUAGCAUGGCCCCUGCACAAGGAUGACUCGCAAAUUCAUGAAGCGUUCCCUAUUUAA